rnacentral:rRNA from 1 species
UAGGGAGCAAGCGUUGUCCGGAAUUACUGGGCGUAAAGGGAGCGCAGGCGGAAGGACAAGCCGGAUUUGAAAGUUCGGGGCUCAGCCCCGUGAGGGAUCCGGAACUGUUCUCCUUGAGAGCGGGAGAAGGAAGCGGAAUUCCUGGUGUAGCGGUGAAAUGCGUAGAUAUCAGGAAGAACACCAGUGGCGAAAGCGGCUUUCCGGACCGAAUCUGACGCUGAGGCUCGAAAGCCAGGGGAGCGAA